rnacentral:rRNA from 1 species
CAAGUCGAACGAACUCUGGUAUUGAUUGGUGCUUGCAUCAUGAUUUACAUUUGAGUGAGUGGCGAACUGGUGAGUAACACGUGGGAAACCUGCCCAGAAGCGGGGGAUAACACCUGGAAACAGAUGCUAAUACCGCAUAACAACUUGGACCGCAUGGUCCGAGUUUGAAAGAUGGCUUCGGCUAUCACUUUUGGAUGGUCCCGCGGCGUAUUAGCUAGAUGGUGGGGUAACGGCUCACCAUGGCAAUGAUACGUAGCCGACCUGAGAGGGUAAUCGGCCACAUUGGGACUGAGACACGGCCCAAACUCCUACGGGAGGCAGCAGUAGGGAAUCUUCCACAAUGGACGAAAGUCUGAUGGAGCAACGCCGCGUGAGUGAAGAAGGGUUUCGGCUCGUAAAACUCUGUUGUUAAAGAAGAACAUAUCUGAGAGUAACUGUUCAGGUAUUGACGGUAUUUAACCAGAAAGCCACGGCUAACUACGUGCCAGCAGCCGCGGUAAUACGUAGGUGGCAAGCGUUGUCCGGAUUUAUUGGGCGUAAAGCGAGCGCAGGCGGUUUUUUAAGUCUGAUGUGAAAGCCUUCGGCUCAACCGAAGAAGUGCAUCGGAAACUGGGAAACUUGAGUGCAGAAGAGGACAGUGGAACUCCAUGUGUAGCGGUGAAAUGCGUAGAUAUAUGGAAGAACACCAGUGGCGAAGGCGGCUGUCUGGUCUGUAACUGACGCUGAGGCUCGAAAGUAUGGGUAGCAAACAGGAUUAGAUACCCUGGUAGUCCAUACCGUAAACGAUGAAUGCUAAGUGUUGGAGGGUUUCCGCCCUUCAGUGCUGCAGCUAACGCAUUAAGCAUUCCGCCUGGGGAGUACGGCCGCAAGGCUGAAACUCAAAGGAAUUGACGGGGGCCCGCACAAGCGGUGGAGCAUGUGGUUUAAUUCGAAGCUACGCGAAGAACCUUACCAGGUCUUGACAUACUAUGCAAAUCUAAGAGAUUAGACGUUCCCUUCGGGGACAUGGAUACAGGUGGUGCAUGGUUGUCGUCAGCUCGUGUCGUGAGAUGUUGGGUUAAGUCCCGCAACGAGCGCAACCCUUAUUAUCAGUUGCCAGCAUUAAGUUGGGCACUCUGGUGAGACUGCCGGUGACAAACCGGAGGAAGGUGGGGAUGACGUCAAAUCAUCAUGCCCCUUAUGACCUGGGCUACACACGUGCUACAAUGGAUGGUACAACGAGUUGCGAACUCGCGAGAGUAAGCUAAUCUCUUAAAGCCAUUCUCAGUUCGGAUUGUAGGCUGCAACUCGCCUACAUGAAGUCGGAAUCGCUAGUAAUCGCGGAUCAGCAUGCCGCGGUGAAUACGUUCCCGGGCCUUGUACACACCGCCCGUCACACCAUGAGAGUUUGUAACACCCAAAGUCGGUGGGGUAACCUUUUAGGAACCAGCCGCC